rnacentral:rRNA from 1 species
UACGGAGGGUGCGAGCGUUGUCCGGAAUCACUGGGCGUAAAGGGCGCGUAGGCGGCCUGAUAAGUAGGGGGUGAAAUCCUGCGGCUUAACCGCAGGGCUGCCUUCUAAACUGUCAGGCUCGAGCACAGUAGAGGCAGGUGGAAUUCCCGGUGUAGCGGUGGGAUGCGUAGAGAUCGGGAAGAACAUCGGUGGCGAAGGCGGCCUGCUGGGCUGUUGCUGACGCUGAGGCGCGACAGCGUGGGGAGCAAACAGG